UACGUAGGGUGCAAGCGUUGUCCGGAAUUAUUGGGCGUAAAGAGCUCGUAGGCGGUGUUCCCAGUCUGUUGUGAAAUCUCCCGGCUUAACUGGGAGGGUGCAGCGGAAACUAGAAUGCUAGAGGGUGGGAGAGGUAAGCGGAAUUCCUGGUGUAGCGGUGAAAUGCGUAGAUAUCAGGAGGAACACCUGUGGUGUAGACAGCUUACUGGACCACUUCUGACGCUGAGACACGAAAGCGUGGGUAGCAAACAGG
rnacentral:rRNA from 1 species